rnacentral:rRNA from 1 species
UACGUAGGGUCCGAGCGUUGUCCGGAAUUAUUGGGCGUAAAGAGCUCGUAGGCGGCCUGUUGCGUCCGCUGUGAAAGCCCGGGGCUUAACCCCGGGUCGGCAGUGGAUACGGGCAGGCUAGAGGUAGGUAGGGGAGAAUGGAAUUCCCGGUGUAGCGGUGAAAUGCGCAGAUAUCAGGAGGAACACCGGUGGCGAAGGCGGGUCUCUGGGCCGUAACUGACGCUGAGGAGCGAAAGCGUGGGGAGCGAACAGG